rfam:Haemonchus placei strain MHpl1 genome assembly, scaffold: HPLM_contig0000129
GGCCCAAAUCUGAAAUAGAGUAGAUUGGUAGUAUCAUCUGACCGUACUAAUCUACUCUACUUCAAGUUUGCGCCC